UCAGGUUUGGAGCUAAACUCUGCAGGACAUCGGCACUCCAAGACUGACGUUGCCUUCCCCUGCUCUAAAAGCUUCAUCCUCUGAUCCCUGCCAAUGUCUUGUUCUCAGUUGUAAUACUGCUAGUACACCACUAGAGGAAGCCAGGGAUUCAUGAAAACACAUCCUUCCUUGAUUUGUUUUCAGAGCUUUGCUGCAUAUUAUUUCACCUCAUCUCACCUCGUCUUCCAGUGUCUUUUUCAUUCUCAUUAAAUCCUAGAAUUGCACCUUGAAGACUAACAACAGCAAAGCAUGGUGCUUAUGGACAGGUUGACGGCUGUUAUCGUGACGAACAGCACCGACAGGCAGGCGAAGAUCUUCCCGGGCAGGCCGGAGUGAGGCUUCUCCACCAUGUCUCUUAGUUUUCCCAUCCAGUGGCCGAGACGAGACUCUCUGGCCAAUCCGCUUCCACUGUCCUCGUCGUCGUCCUCGUCUUCCUCCACCACCCGCUCUAGUUCGUCGCAUUCCUCCACACGCUGCAGGAGGCGUCGCCGGCAGCACCAUUCCAAGCUCUCCUCCGGGACGCCCCAGUAGAGCAGCUCUUCUUGGAAAGACAGGGCGCACAUCUCCCGCAGAGAGCGCAGCUUCCCGGCGCGCAGGAAGGUGAGGAUGGUCCGGAAGGCGCAGGGACUGCGGUCGAAGAAGAACUCAUUGUGGACCACGUCGUAGUCAUCACACACCCGCAUGAUCUCGUCAAAGCUGCUGCACAGACGCAACUGGCCCAGACGCGAGAGGGGGAAGUCCUCCAGCGUGGUCCAGGGAAGCUGGUACCGCAGGCCGCCCACGUUAAUGAUGACGUGCAGCCGCUGGCCGCAGGAUGGCAGGUUGCCGUUGUCGUCUGGAUGGAGCGCAUCGGGGAUGCCGGGGUCAGUCAGAGGCAGUCGUUGCGCCCGUUUGUAAUAAACGCCCUUGAGGGCCUCUUGCUCCUGGAUGGGCGGCGCGUUCAGAGAGGUGUCCGAGGUGCAACUCAAAGCACUGUAGUCGUAAUCCGAACCAUCGCCUGCCAGUAAAGUCAUCUUUCACCUGGCCACCUCCACCUCAGCGGCUGUCACAUGCCUGUAGUCCAGCGUUUCCUCUCAAAGAGUGACCUGCUCAAUGAGAACGAGACGGCAGAUUAGUGAUCAAGCUGUACUGUUGUAGCCGUGACUUUGGACCAUUAUACUAAGCAAAACCAUUUUAGGACAAACAAACAAAAAAGCAUUUUUAAAUAGAUGAAUGAACACAGCCACUAAAAUGAAAAACCCGACCAGAAGAGGUAGCAAGAUGAAGCCAGUGCUAUUACAAUAAGAGGCUCGACCGACCGAUGACAUCACUCAGGUCCCAAAGUACAAAGUACUUUCUAAUGGACAGAAACCUCCCGGGUUCUGCUGAUCAAUAAUCCCGCUGUCUACUUUUUGGGACAGACUCUGUGAUUAAGGUCUAGUAAAGUGCAAUUGUUGGGCCUUUUGUGCAUCACUUUCAUCUGCUGUUUUUAGGAGCAUCUGGGACGUUCAGAUAAGAUGGUGUAUGUUCUGACUUGUUGCGGGGGACUUGCCAAUGAAUGAACCCUUGCGAAACAAGUGAACAGAAUAUCUUGGCACGCAACUACCUAGCCUGCGAUAGCCCGCGACAAGGAAGCCUUCCCAUCCAAGUAAGAGUGUGAAAAUGAAUAACUCGAGUGCUUCCAACACCUCUUUUUCAAACUUGUCUCAAACGUUCACCUACACAACAAGUGGAGCAUUUUGAACCUUAGACACCUUUCUUGCAACGCCGCAAUGCGAACCACAGACUGAUGAAUCGAAAUGCUCUGGCUCAACAUCGCUCCAGUGAAGACGUUCACCUCCCAGACAAGGCUGGGCAGAUUUUAUUAGCUUCUUUUCACUUUGGGAAAUUAAAUUGAAUUGGCCACUUCCCACAGGAAGUUGAACUAGAAUAAGAGGAAAAUAAAUUUACUACGUUAAUUUUAAAGAAAAUGAACACAAGUUAUGCAUUCUAGUAAAU